rnacentral:rRNA from 1 species
CCUACGGGAGGCUGCAGUGAGGAAUAUUGGUCAAUGGGCGCGAGCCUGAACCAGCCAAGUCGCGUGAGGGAAGACGGUCCUAUGGAUUGUAAACCUCUUUUGUCGGGGAGCAAAAGACGCCACGUGUGGCGUUCCGAGAGUACCCGAAGAAAAAGCCUCGGCUAACUCCGUGCCCGCAGCCCCGGUAAUACGGAGGAUUCGAGCGUUAUCCGGAAUGACUGGGGGUAAAGGGUGCCUAGGGUGUUUGGCAAGUUAGUAGCGCAACUCCAAGGGUCAACCUUGGAACUACUACUAAAACUGUUGGACUUGAGUGCAGGAGGGGCAACCGGAAUUCGUGGUGUAGCGGUGAAAUGCAUAGAUAUCAUGAAGAACUCCGAUCGCGAAGGCAAGUGUCCGGGGUGCAACUGACGCUGAGGCUCGAAAGUGCGGGGAUCAAACAGGAUUAGAUACCCGGGUAGUC